rnacentral:lncRNA from 1 species
AAAACAAAAAAUUGAAAUCUUCAAAACCUGAACUCGUUCCUGUCUCUCUCACACAAAUAGAGAAAUCAAACCCCAAAUUAGCUACGAACCCUAAAUCCCAAAUCCCCCAAACCGUCAAUCCAUCCCUGUAAACCAAAUUCAAGCUGCAUGAACGUCAUUCUAUCUUGUUGUCGUGCUUCGAUGCAAUUGCAGUAGAAGUUUUUUUGAGUCGCGACAAGUGCUUCUUUUCACCACCAUGGAUAAUAUUCAGCAACAAUCAAUGGGUAAGCAAUAAUAACCCUUUCUUUUGUUCUCCUGCGUUCGUUGCAUUCUUUUUCCUUUUGAUUUACUGUUGAUAGCAUAGAAGACAUUUUUGAUAUUCUCUAGAAAAUUUGUAAAGUGGUUUCUUUUAUUUAACGGACUAUUAUGACUUGUAAUAUAAUAUUGAUAGCAUGUUGACAUCCGUUCAACAUGUGUGUGGGUGGGUGGGUGUGUGUGAGACAUUAAUUUGGUAUUACAAUUCGUUAUUGUACAUUCUGCUUUAUUCUUGCUAAUGAAAAAUAAAACUAGGAUACUGUAUUAUAAAUUAUAAUUUUUGAUCUCUUUAUUUACUUUUUUGUUUGUUAUAUUUGCAGAUAUUCUGAUGGACAGUGAUCCAGACUUUCACGACUCUGAUCAUGAUGUAUACGACGAUAAUGAUAUUUUAUUUGAUUGUAACAUUACCGAAGGUAUUGAAAUGGCUAUGUAUAGCUUGCUACUUGAUGAAGAAGCCCCGUAAGAAGACAUCUCGUCGAAUGCAUCUUAUGAAGAACUAAAAUUUGGUAAUGGUUCGGACUCGGAGGGCAACAUUGGUAUGCAUAAUUUUCUUGAUAAUCGAUCUUCGAUCAAGUUGAGCCAAUUUUCAAGAGAAAUGAUAAGAUUCGAGUGCAUUGUGUUCGUAAGGAUUGUUGUCCAUGGAUGUUGUGGGCGUUUAAGUUACAAGGUCAAGACAUAGUACAAAUAAAAACAUAUGACCCUAAACAUACUUUCUUGAAGGUACAUCAAAUAAGUACGUAACAUACAAGUGGCUUGCCGAUUAUUACUUGGAUGAUUUUACAACCAAUCUUCACUGGAAGACAAAGCAUUUCAAAACUAAAGUGAGAGGAUUUGGGAGUUCAUAUUACAAAGUCGGUUGCAUGGAAUAGUAGAAAAUAUGCAAAAGUUUUAAUAGAAGAGAAUGAUGCAGUACAAUUUGCGAAGUUAGGUUUCUAUGCCGAGGAAUUGAGGUGAACAAAUCCUGGUUCUACCGUGAUCAUUGCUCAUGUGGAAAAUGUGUCUAGGGGUAUUUAUGUUUGUAUAGAGACAUGUAAGAGGGAUUUUUAGCAGGGGUGUAUAAAUAGAAUUUUUUGAAGGAAAAUAUGAUGGGCAACUUCUAGCAGCAGUUGGGGUAGACGCCAACGAUUGUAUAUAUCCAAUUGCAUAUGCCACUGUCAAGUAAGAGAACACCAGUUCAUAUAUCCAAUUGCACAUGCCAUUGUUGAGAAAGAGAACACCAGUUCAUGGCAAUGGUUUAUGAUGUCAUUGUUUGAAGACCUAGCUAUGGAGAAUUGGUUAUCCAUUACCUUCAUGAGUGAUAGACAGAAAGGAUAAAUUAAUGUUGUGGCGAAUUUAUUUCCAGAAGCAAAACGUCGAUUUUGUGUUAGGCACAUGUAUCGGAAUUUUUUUAGGAGUGACUUAAAGGGUAAGAAUUUGAAGUAUUAUUUAUGGGUUUGUAGACAUAAAAAAAUACAAGAAAUUCCGUCGUACAGGGAUGCAGUGAAGUCAAGCCAUUUAGGAUCUUUCAAGUAUUGGAUAUCGAAUAUUGAAAAUGCUAAAGACGGGGCGUAUAGAUGGGCGUAUGGAUGGUUGAUGAAAAAAAUCACCAAAUGAGUGGAUUAAAUUUCACUUUUCGUUAGUCGAAGUGUAAAAUGCUUCUUAAUAACCUAUGUGAAUGCUGUAACAACUUCAUUUCGAAAGACAGACAAAUCCAUACUCACCAUGUUGAUUGGAAUUUAGAACAAACUAAUGUAGAGGAUAAAUUGAAAAACUACAACAAACCUAUCUAUCCUAAAAUAAAAAAAAAGUUAAAGAAAGCUAGUAAAGCAGCUCGUGAAUGUAUAUUGCAAUAGAAUGGGAUACAUCAAUAUCAAGUUGAGUGUUUGUAUGGAAAAUUUAUAGUUGAUAUGGAGAAUCAAACUUGCACGUGUUAAAGAUGGCAGGGAAUUUCGCAUCUACAUGUGAUUGCGUGCAUCAUGGAUAAAGUUAACGAAGGGAAAGAGUUAUGGCAUGAAACUGAAGUUCAUGUGCUGUCUCCACCAUGGUAUAUAGCUAAUAAGGGAAGAAAGCAAACGAAGAAAAGAAAAGGACCUGAAGAAGUUGAAGUGUCUUAAUCACAAUCACAAGAGUCGACAACAGAGAAAGGAGUUUUGUAUAUGACAUGUUCGGUGUGCAAGGAGAAAGGACAUAACAAACGUCACCUUAGCAUAAAGGCAUCAACAGUUUCUGAUGCACGCAUUAUUGCAUUCUAAGUUUAUUAUUUUAUUGAUUUAUUAUUAUUAUUAUUAUUUUGUUAUUGCAUGUCAACUUAUAUUACUAUUGUUCACAUUUAUUAGGAAGGUCAACAACUUGGAGAUGGAGCUAGAUGUUUUCAGGGGGCGGGAAUGCAGCCUUAAUGCACCACUUACUAGAAAUUUUUGUGAAUAUCUCAAGGGAAAUUUGCUAGGGGAUUCAUGUAGGUCACUUACAACCUAUUUUUUGUGAUUAUCUAAGGAACUGUAAUACAAUUUUAGAAACAUAGGCAUCCAAGUUUAUGUAAUUAUGGUACAUUAUCCCAUUGAAGUGUUGUAGUAUCUUGAAUGAUGUAUUCCUAUUCGUUGAUAUGGAAUGUAAAGAAGUGAUUUUGUGUAUUGACUAAUAUAAAUCCAGUUGGUCCAUA